GACGAACGCUGGUGGCGUGCUUAACACAUGCAAGUCGAACGGGAUUUAGUAAACAGAAGCCUCGGUGGAAGAUUACUAAUGAGAGUGGCGAACGGGUGAGUAACGCGUGAGCAACCUGCCUAUGACAGUGGGAUAGCCUCGGGAAACCGGGAUUAAUACCGCAUAAAAUCGUAGAAACACAUGUUUUAACGGUCAAAGAUUUAUCGGUCAUAGAUGGGCUCGCGUCUGAUUAGCUAGUUGGUGAGAUAACAGCCCACCAAGGCGACGAUCAGUAGCCGGUCUGAGAGGAUGAACGGCCACAUUGGAACUGAGACACGGUCCAAACUCCUACGGGAGGCAGCAGUGGGGAAUAUUGCACAAUGGGGGAAACCCUGAUGCAGCGACGCCGCGUGAACGAAGAAGGUAUUCGUAUCGUAAAGUUCUGUCCUAUGGGAAGAUAACGACAGUACCAUAGAAGAAAGCUCCGGCUAAAUACGUG
rnacentral:rRNA from 1 species